AAAAAUAACUUCUUUUUAUUUACAAGAAAAAAAAUCCAAAUAUUGGAUGCUGUAAACAAAAUUCACAAUCUGUUCCCUCUAGCACUGAUUCAAACAUGUCAGUUUUUAAGAGUCCAUUCUCAUCAACUCCUUUUCUGCCUGUGACACAGUCUAAAGUCAAAAUAUCCCAACAGAGUGACCCCAGGUGCAGCUUGCUGCAAUAGGACAUCUCAGAGCAGGCAAUGGUUGUAGAGAGGUUGAGAGACACCCGGGGGGCAGAGCCUCCUCCAUUCUGCAAGGCUUUGCAGCAAGUUUUGCCAAGUUACCUUGACAUCUUCCAACUUUGUACUUUUACCAUGUAUUUUGUUAGCAAGCCAUUAUUACAACAAAAUAUUACACAGAGAUUCUUCCUUGGCACUGAAAAGGCUAUAAGAAAUCUUAAAGAAAGAUUAUAUUCAAAUAGGUGCUAUAUAUGAUUUUUUUUUUUUACUUUUCAGUUUCAUCUAAUACACUUUGUCUUCAAACAAAAAAGAAAGCUUAUUUUUGAACUGCUGACAGCUUUCAACAUAAUACAUUUCAUUCACAAAAUAGUUCACGAUAUUUAUUUGACAAGCACUGCAUUGAAAACAACUUUAUGCACAGUAAAGCAGCCGACGAUAAGCUAACAGAAAGGGGUGGCAGAAACGGUGUUCACUUUUCUUUGUGUUUCUUCCAUGGCUUGGCUUACAAAUAUUCUUCCAUCCUUGCAUUGUUUGGAGCCCCGUUAAAAUAGUCCACCCACUACUAAAGUGAGCAGAUACUUCAGGAAGGGAAAAGUCCAUCUCACUGUAGGACUUCUUGAGACAAUCGGAUUUACUGAAAAUCAACUUUUUAGAAGGGCACGGUCACAGGUCAAAUGUUCUCUGACAUGCCAAACUGGACAGGUGAGAAGAGCCUCCAGAAGAUAAAACUUCUUCCUGUUUUAAAGUUAACAGCACACUAGGCCAGAUAAGCACAAAAGCAAGCAAAUCACAGGCACCGAUCAGGAGUUGAGAGCUGUUCUUUUUCUCUGACCUAUACACACGGCUCUCUCUCUCCAGACAUUCAGACUUUUAGGUUACACAUCCACAAAGAGAGACACAUAUUCCACUGUCUGUUCAACUACAUAUGCACAAGACUAUAGUACAUACAAAAAAGAAAUAAAUUAUAGAAGUUUUAAAGCAACGGCUGAAGGUUGUCUUGAGCAUAGCCUGUUCUAUCUGAAUGCCAGGUGUUGGCGAUUCCAACUAUGCGACCAAAGUUGGAAUAAGAAAAGAACAUAAACAUUUCAGAAAAUAAGUGAAGAGUAUAUUUUCAAAUAAGGCUCCUCCAAACAAAAAUUCGUGUUAUCAAUUAACAGCAGAUUUUUGCUGUGGCAGAGCCAGCGUUCUCCAAAUUCUUUGUAAUAUAAUGGACAACUCACUUGUCAAUAGUUAGGAUGAGAAGGAAGAAGGCAGAUCACUGUCUGCGUCUAUGUUCCCAAGUGUUCCCUUAGUUUUCUCUUAGAAAACUCCAAACAGGUAAGCAAGCAGGCAGAGCUCUGGCUUCUGGACAGUUAAGUAUCAGGCUUAAUCUGAAAAUGGAAUAAUAUUGCCUGGAAAUUCACAAUUCAUUUUCAAACCCAGGGCUGGAGUGAGGGAGAAUGAGCCAACGUGGGAGAAGAAAGAGUUCCCUAGGAAACAGUGAGUGGCAGUGCAGUAGCUGUGACAGCUCAGAGAGAAUUCACAGGGAAGCUGCUACAGCAAACCCAUCAAGUUCCUGUUAAGGCUUCAAAGAAAGGUGUGCAAAAGGUAGUUUCAGAUGGAUUAGCCUACAACUGAGCAUCUGAGUGAUGCCCCAAUAGCAAACAAAUGACACUGCCAAUAGGAUGAUGCUAUUUUCUUCCCCAAUCCCUCUUGAACUUGAUGACAGAAAUCUGGUAGGUUCUUCAGAGGAACUGUCACAGUAAGCAGUCAUCCACUAGAGCUGGUAGGAAUUAUGUGGCUGUUUCACAAUACAAAGGAAAGGUUUGCAUGUGUUAGUUUUGUUUUUAACAAAUGCAUUUUCAGAGACCAGUGUCCAAAGGAAUAAAAAGCUGGGAGAAGGAAUGGUUUUAGGAUUAGCUGUCACUGAACUGAAAUGAUAAUGCCAGUUCAUUUCACAAAGGUUUAACUGGUCUCUUGGUAAAGAGAUGAUAAAGUUGGAUCUGAUCCAAUGCAAAGUGACUGAAUUUAAAGUACAGUACUAAAUAUUUAAAUGCAGUGUGACAAUCAGAUCAAAGGUGUUUCAUAUCGACGUGAAUUUAUAAAAUUUUAUAUAUAAUAUAUAUCUCAUAUAUAAAUUUUAAGCAAUUGUGCAAAUACUCUUUAAAAAGGGUCAUUUCACAUUUACUAAAUUCUAGUGGUCCUGGAAUGCAGAAUGCAUUCAUUAAAAAAUUCAUUUAAAUAUUAAUAAGUAGUGUUCAGAUCACCAGAAAUUUUAUUAGCAGUUAGGGAUUUAAAUGAACUAUCGCUGAUCCAUGAUCCACUGGAUUGUACACCAUGGAGGCAUGCAAAUAUAACACAAAAUAAAAGGGUUCCUACUGUCAAAAUGGCAGUUCAGUACAAAAAGAGUGCUCUGCCAAACAAAUAUUCUCCCAUUUGUAGAAUUCUAUGGCUCACAAAAAAAAAAAAAAAAAGAAAAAAAAUCACUAAAAAUGUAUAAUCUCUGCUCUUCCUAACAAAUAUAUUACUUGUUUUCCUCCUUCAUUGGUUUUAAUUUUUUAGAUGUGGGUUUUAACUCAUCACUGCAAUAUGCCCACGUCUCAUGUCAUCCUGUUGAAAACAUAAAAGCACACAGUAUUUAAACAUUUUCUAUUUGCUACAUUAUUCUAGACCUUAGUCAAUGUAUUGUGUGUAUAUAUACAUAUCUCAAAUACGUAUAUAUAUACACAUAAUGUACACACACAUACACAUGUACCUAUGAUAAUAUCACACCAACAAUGUUAACUUUAUACAAGUAUUUGCCAAGAAAAAAUAGGGCAUUUCUUCCACCAUUCACAAGCUUAUACGUUGUUUUAUUUUCUUCUUGAGUCCCUGAUAAAAUAAUCAUUAAAUCAUAAAAUUUUUCCACUUCAAAUUUUCAGAAGGCAACAGGCACUUUGAUGUUUAUUGGUGUGUAACAAAUAUAGUUAACUCUUUAUAUAUUCUACUAUAUCUCUUCUACUUGGGUAUUUUUAUCUGUUAAAUCUUUGGUCCUUGAGCAUACUUUCUUUGCUAGAGCUGCUUUCGCUUGCAUUUUCAUAUUUAAAAAAUGCAAGCUAUGCACACAGCUGGAAAUAAUGGAUUGUGUCAUCAUUAAGUUCUGCUGUUUGUUAUGAGAACUGCACCAACCUACUACUGUUCAUUCGGAGCAAGCUGUCUCUGUUAGCGUAAUAGGAUAGUUCCACAGAAAGCACUUGCUACAGGUUUCAGAUAGUAAUCCCAAUGUUGGAGUCCCUUUUUUUCUAUUAUCGCUACUAUCUGAACUUCUGAAUUGAUACUUAGGUUGGGGUAAGAUCUUUUUUCCUUUGUAUUUUCCCUUUUGUAAAUUCCACCUUAUAAGAAACUCUCCUUUUUUUUUUUUUUUUUUCCUAUGGCAAAGCUAUGGGAGCAGGUACUGCAAACCCAUAUUGUCAUCAAGCAUUUUUUUUUUUUCCCUUGUUAUUUUAGGAGAACCUGGUUGCUUUUAAUGACAGGUCUCUUUUGUUUCAGAAUAGAAUCCAACUGAGUAGGAGGAACAGGUGAGAAGGUUGGUGGGUGAGGAGGGUUGUUUUGAGAUCGU
rnacentral:lncRNA from 1 species